CGUCGAGCACUUGGUGUGUGACCCUACGCGCCAUAGGGUCGCACUGGAGUUUCACCACUACUUUUCCAGGCUGCCAUAAGGUCGUCUGACUCCAUUUGCCCCUCUGUGCUUCCGCCUCUGUCUCUCUGGAAGUUGAAGUAGGGCUACAGUUCUGCAAACCCAGAGAAUUGCAAUGAACAGGAAAAGAAAGCCAGCAGAUAAUGCGAUAGAAAUGGGCAACAAAGAGGAACAGAUUCAAGUAAUGGGUUCUUGUAUAUUUGAUCUUCCAAAGUCUAUUCUUUACAUUGUUCUACUAAAGCUACCAACUAGGAGCAUUCUCAUUUGCAAAUGUUUAUGCAAGACUUGGCAAGAUCUAAUUUCGGACCAUGAAUUUGCUAAGCUGCACUUUGCACAAGCAGAGUCCUACCCUUUGGUCCGGCCCUCUUAUCCAACUCAUGUGUCAAGAACCCUUUAUCUGGUCAGCCUGAAGAUAGCUCUGAUUUUGAUUUCGAGCACAGCAACUGUACGUGUUAUGAUGCCUCUGACUUUCUUUUUAAUGAGUGCAAUGGGUAUCAGUUCCACAUGAAUCUUGCCAAAUAUAAAAUCCCAUUGCGCAAUGCUGAGGAAGUACUCAAUACCCACAAUGAUGCCAAUAGGAAAUCUGGAACUAAAAAGAAGCUUUGCAUCAAGGUAUGUCCAGCUGGUCGCAAGUAUGAGGUGGUGAAUUCGUGUAACGGAUUGCUUUGCUUGUCUAAACCAUUCAUCAAUGACCCUGUUGUUGUGUGCAACCCAAUAACCGUCUGAAGACUAACCAGUACAAGGUGAUAAGAAUCUCUGAGCAAGGAACACUGGAUCCCUUUAAGGCAGCCGAGGUAUACACACUUGGGACAGGCUCAUGGGAAUGUUUAGGUUUUGCUCCGUUCUUAAAAAAUAAAGUAGAAUUCACCACCUAUCUGAAAGGAGCGCUUUAUUGGUUUUGCCAUUGGCUUUCAUCGCUUUAUAUAGAUUCUUCUGACUUGGACACUGGGAGUUUUCAGUCAGUUCAGCCACCUCCUUUUGAACUGCAAAGAGAGCAUCAGAUGUGCAGAACACAAGCUGCUGGGAGAGACUAGAGCUCUGUCUUUGGAGGAAGAACAAAUUCUCAGUUGCUUUCCGAAGGAAGUGAAGGAGGAAAUAACCUCAGAGGUGGUGUCGAUGUCGUAUAGAAGGCAAUGUGAACUCGAAGAGGUCUGUAGAGUCAAAAAACCAUUUUGUUAAUGGCUUGUGACAAGAUUGCAAGCUGCUGGGAGAGACAGGAGCUUUUUUCUUUUUUGGUGGCAGGAAAUAGGGUCUGGUAUCAACAUCAGAUAGGUCCUCAAUGCAGUGUCAAUUGUCAAUCUACAGGUACAGGGAUGAGAUGUAGGUGAUCACUCCCCUUCCCCUAAUUAAUCGUAAUUAAGAAUUACGCAUUAAUUAAAUGUAAAAGUUAAACCAGUUGCUCCCACAAAUUCAUGAGAACAUGAAUAUACUCAGUAACUUACUACAA